GGCACGGUAGCUCAGUAGGUAAGAGCGGGCGCCUCAUAAGCGUCAGGCCGGCGGUUCAAGUCCGCCCCGUGCUA
rnacentral:tRNA from 1 species